rnacentral:rRNA from 1 species
UACGGAGGGUGCAAGCGUUAUCCGGAAUCACUGGGUUUAAAGGGUGCGUAGGCGGCUAUAUAAGUCAGAGGUGAAAGUUUGCCGCUUAACGAUAGAACUGCCUUUGAUACUGUUGAGCUUGAAAGUGGUUGAGGUCGGCGGAAUGUGACAUGUAGCGGUGAAAUGCAUAGAUAUGUCAUAGAACACCAAUUGCGAAGGCAGCUGGCUGGGCCUACUUUGACGCUGAGGCACGAAAGCGUGGGGAGCGAACAGG